CAGCCAUGCAGGUCGCCGCGCUGCUCAUCUGUCUACUGCUGACCGCGCUGACGUCACAGGUUCAGGCGCAGCCCGAGCGCUGGGAGUUAAACUGGAGGGAAAAGGAUCCAGAGGACACAAUUUUCACUUCAUCUGGGGAUGGUGUGUCAAAUGCUGAGAUUUAUGUAAGACCAGAAGUGCUACAACUGUUACAUCUUAGGAACAGACCCAUAAAAAAACACUUCAAUACUGUGCCAGCAUGGGUGCUAGGAAGUGAACAAGCAAAAUCAUCAGUGGUAAUUCUGCUGCCUGAAGGCUCAGCAGACAAUGAACAGGUUUUUUGAUGUUCAGAUGGGCAAUGGAAUUUAUUCUUUCAAAAAUUGUGUCAAUAGGAAAUAAAUAUCAAGAACAACAGAAAUUUACAGUACCUUAAAGAAAUAAUAUGUUGCCAUUGAGCAGCUAUAUGUAAUAGGAAUAAUGCACAGAAUAACAGAAAUCAGACUGAAACAUCAUAGUCUUCUGUUGUCAAACCUCAUCACAGCUCUUCCAGUCCACUUGUAUGAGCUUUUGCUUCUGAUUGGUUGAAAAGAAUGAACUGACAACAUUGAUAAUUUUCGUAUCUAGUCUGACUGUAACUAUUUUUGCAUGCAGUCAUCACUGUUUUCCUUCUUAGUUAUUUAUGAAUUUCAUGUACAAAGCAUAGAUUACAAGUGUGAAUAACUUUUACACAUAAAAGUCAGUGAGUGAAAGAUGCGGUUAAAAUAUGUUGUACAUAUAUUGAGUUGACUUCAAUUCAUUUUUAGCUGUGUUUCUCUGUCGCUCUAAUAACCCGUCAUUUUCUUCAUUAUUCAUCCAGUUUCAGCAGUUGCUCCAUUUCUGCUGACGUAGUUACCAGUUUCAUGUGCAUAUUUCUAAGAGACAUCUCAUGUAAGAAGAGAAAUUUUGAAUGAAUGAUCAUGUGAUACUGGGCAAUAAUCUAAGGAAGUGAACUAAGAUUCUCCCUCAUGUACCUUAUUUAAGUUCUUAUAGCACUUGUCUUAAAUUAGAAAUCUUCAUUGGUAAGACCAGUUAAUUCUCUUCUUUAUGCUGUAUAAUAAUUAUUAUAAACAGAUGCCUCUUCAUUGUCAUUAUUUAUUAAACAAGUAAGCUUUUGUACUAUCAAUGCUUAUAAAUAUGGAAAAACAGAUACUGUUACCAGUGUUUGCUGCGUUACAUCAUCAUGGAUUGGAAAAAGCUUAUAAAUAUUGUACCUUACCACUCAGUUCUUAAAUUGUAAUGCAUCUAACUGUACCUACCAUUUUUAUUUCUCUAAAAAGUUUUCCACAUAUUGAGUAAAGUUUCUCACUUUGCCAUCACAUCUUGCUCUCACCUUAUUCAAUGUUGUUGUUAAUGUGGCUUUCUUACUUUCUGCCUUAAUAAUUUAUUACAGGUACCUCUAUAAUUUUAAUUCCAUUCACUUUGAGGAAAAAUGUGUUUGCACAUCCCUGAUCCUACUUUAUCUGAUAUGUUUACCAAAGCAUGCCAUGGCAUAAAACUGAGCAAGUAUGACUUUUGUGUGAGUGCAGUUUUUGCCUAGUUGUAGUAAACACUAAGGCAAAUUUCCUGACAUUCACAUUCAAUUUUCCUCAUUUAUAAUCUCCAAAUUAUGACACUGACUUUGUUAUGUUCUAAUGGAAGUAUAUACUUUUUUCUGUGACACUUGAAAGAAG
rnacentral:lncRNA from 1 species